GUGAAUCAUCGAAUUUUUGAACGCAAAUUGCACUUUCUGGUAUUCCGGAAAGUAUGCCUGUUUGAGGGUCAUGUAAAUAAAAAUCGGUGUUGUGGCUGCCUUUCUUGUUGACGCGUCGGAAGUGGGUCGUCUUACGUUCGGUUGAGUGACUUAAAAUUUUUGCAUGGUUUUUGUACGUAUUUAAAUCUUGUA
rnacentral:misc_RNA from 1 species